UACAGAGGGUGCAAGCGUUAAUCGGAAUUACUGGGCGUAAAGCGUGCGUAGACGGUUGCGUAAGUCAGAUGUGAAAGCCCCGGGCUCAACCUGGGAACUGCAUUUGAGACUGCGUAGCUAGGGUGCGGAAGAGGGAAGCAGAAUUUCCGGUGUAGCGGUGAAAUGCGUAGAUAUCGGAAGGAACACCAGUGGCGAAAGCGGCUUCCUGGUCCAGCACCGACGUUCAGGCACGAAAGCGUGGGGAGCAAACAGG
rnacentral:rRNA from 1 species